GUGUUAUGUAAAGUAAAGAUGGUUAGUACUCCCCUUGACAGGAUGGAAGUGGUCCUCAACUCUCUACAACAUACAUAUCAUUAGGCAUUGCCACCUGCUUCACAGCAUCUAGCCUUCAUUUUGA
ensembl:snRNA